rnacentral:rRNA from 1 species
UGCGUAGGGGGCAAGCGUUGUCCGGAUUUAUUGGGCGUAAAGAGCUCGUAGGCGGUUUGGUAAGUUGGAUGUGAAAUCUCCAGGCUCAACUUGGAGGGGUCAUUCGAUACUGCCAUGACUAGAGUUCGGUAGGGGAGUGUGGAAUUCCUGGUGUAGCGGUGAAAUGCGCAGAUAUCAGGAGGAACACCGGUGGCGAAGGCGGUGGUCUGGGCCGGCACUGACGCUGAGGAGCGAAAGCGUGGGUAGCAAACAGG